AAUAAAAGUAUAGCUCUCUGUCUCCACAUAAAGCAAGAGGGAACUGGAUACCUGUCUUGUCUGAAAUACAGGAGGUUGUUGGGUGCUAAACACGAACCACUGACGGAAAAUUGAAUGAAGCUCCACCUUUCAAGGACCCUGCCAUCAAUGUUUUGUUCUCAUGCCAAAUUACUGGAGUAUAAAUAUGUGCCUAUACGCCAUGAAAAAAACACUUCUCUGGAAGGAUUUUCAAGUCACCACUGCAUGGCAAGAUGGAUAUAAAAAAGGGGAGGUCAUUUUGGAUCUUUUGCCUGAUUUGGAGUUGUUGCAGCGGCAAAGAACCAGUUCAGAUAGUCCAGGUGUCUACCGUCAGUAGGAGUGAAUGUGCCACCUGGGGCAAUUUCCAUUUUCAUACAUUUGACCAUGUUAAAUUCACUUUUCCUGGAACCUGCACAUAUGUCUUCGCUUCGCACUGCAAUGACAGCUACCAGGACUUUAACAUCCAAAUCAGGCGCAGUAACAAGAAUAGCUUCCUGAUAUACUUCACUGUCACUAUUGAUGGAGUGAUCUUGGAGGUGAAGGAGACAGGCAUCACAGUGAAUGGGAACAAGAUCCACAUGCCCUUCAGCUUGAAGAGCAUCCUGAUUGAGGACACCUGUACUUACUUCCAAGUCACUUCCAAGCUGGGCCUGACACUCAAGUGGAACUGGGCUGACACUCUCCUACUGGACCUAGAAGAAACAUAUAAAGAGAAAAUAUGCGGUCUAUGCGGGAACUAUGAUGGCAGUGAGAAGAAUGAUUUGGUUUUGGAUGGGUAUAAAAUGCAUCCAAGGCAGUUUGGGAACUUCCACAAAGUAGAGGAUCCAUCAGGAAAGUGUGCUGAUGUGAGUUCAGAUGACCGCACUGGAAGACAUCCUAGGAGAGAAGACAACAGAUGCAGUAAAUAUAGAAAAAGAUGCAAGAAGCUUAUGUCUCGUUUUGGAAACUGCCCCAAAGUUGUUGCUUUUGAUGACUACGUAGAGACCUGCACUGAGGAUAUGUGCCACUGUGCAGUUAAUUCUUCUCACUUUGACUUGGUUUCCAGCUGCAUAUGCAGCACUUUAAACCAGUACUCUCGAGAUUGUGUCCUCAGGAAAGGAGACCCUGGGGAAUGGAGAACCAAAGAACUUUGCUAUCAGGAAUGCCCAAACAACAUGGUGUACAUGGAAUGUGGAAACUCCUGCGCUGACACAUGUGCUGACCCAGAAAGGAGCAAGAUUUGUAAAGCCCCAUGUACAGAUGGCUGUUUCUGUCCUCCUGGAACUAUCCUUGACGAUCUUGCUGGCAAAAAAUGCAUCCCCAGAGACAGCUGUCCCUGUAUGUUUCAAGGCAAAGUCUACUCAUCGGGAGGGACCUACUCCACUCCCUGCCAAAACUGUAUCUGCAAAGGAGGCCACUGGAGCUGUAUCUCCCUGCCCUGUUCUGGAAUUUGCAAUAUAGAUGGAGGAUUCCACAUAACAACGUUUGAUAAUAAGAGAUUCAAUUUUCAUGGCAACUGCCAUUAUGUCUUAGCUAAGAAUACUGAUGAUACAUUUGUGGUGAUUGGAGAGAUUAUCCAGUGUGGAACAUCAAAGACAAUGACUUGCUUAAAGAAUGUAUUAGUCACUCUAGGAAGAACUACAAUAAAAAUAUGUUCCUGUGGAAAUAUCUACAUGAACAAUUUCAUUGUGAAGCUGCCAGUAAGCAAAGAUGGCAUCACCAUCUUCAGACCCUCUACAUUUUUCAUCAAAAUCUUGAGCGCAACUGGAGUACAGAUUCAAGUGCAAAUGAAACCUGUAAUGCAGCUCUCCAUAACAGUCAAUCAUUCUUAUCAGAAUCGCACAUCUGGUCUUUGUGGCAAUUUCAAUAACAUCCAGACUGACGACUUCAGAACAGUCACUGGAGCUGUGGAAGACUCAGCUUCUGCUUUUGGUAACUCAUGGAAAACUAGAGCCAGCUGUUUUGAUGUUGAGGACAGCUUUGAAGAUCCUUGUUCAAACAGCGUGGAUAAAGAAAAAUUUGCCCAACAAUGGUGUUCUCUUCUGUCCAAUGCAAGCAGCGUGUUUGCUGCCUGCCAUUCUGUUGUAGAGCCUUCAGUAUACAUCAAGAAAUGUAUGUAUGACACCUGUAAUUCUGAGAAGAGUGAAGUUGCUCUGUGUAGUGUGCUCUCUACCUACUCCAGAGACUGUGCUGCAGCAGGCAUAUCCCUGAAGGGCUGGAGGCAGGGCAUCUGUGAUCCCUCUGAGGAGUGUCCUGCGACUAUGGUUUAUAACUAUAGUGUGAAAUACUGUAACCAGUCUUGCCGCUCGCUGGAUGAACCUGAUCCACUGUGUAAAGUUCAGAUUGCUCCUAUGGAGGGCUGUGGUUGCCCUGAAGGGACCUACAUCAAUGAUGAGGAGGAAUGUGUAACUCCAGAUGACUGUCCCUGCUACUACAAAGGCAAGAUUGUUCAGCCUGGCAACUCUUUCCAAGAGGACAAACUGAUGUGCAAAUGCAUUCAAGGAAGAUUAGACUGCAUUGGAGAGACUGUCCUGGUGAAAGAUUGCCCUGCUCCUAUGUAUUACUUCAACUGCAGCUCUGCAGGUCCUGGUGCAACUGGAUCAGAGUGUCAGAAAAGUUGUAAGACACAGGACAUGCAUUGUUAUGUCACAGAAUGUGCUUCUGGCUGCAUGUGUCCUGAUGGGCUGGUAUUGGAUGGCAGUGGAGGAUGUAUUCCCAAAGAUCAAUGCCCAUGUGUUCAUGGAGGACAGUUUUAUAAACCUGGGGAAACCAUCAAAGUGGACUGCAACACAUGCACCUGCAACAAAAGGGAGUGGAACUGCACAGAAAAUCCCUGCAAAGGAACCUGCACUGUGUAUGGAAAUGGACAUUACAUGAGCUUUGAUGGGGAGAAGUUUGAUUUCCUGGGAGACUGUGACUAUAUCCUAGCUCAGGAUUUUUGCCCCAAUAAUAAGGAUGCUGGCACCUUCCGAAUUGUAAUUCAGAACAAUGCCUGUGGGAAGUCACUGUCCAUCUGUUCCCUAAAGAUCACACUGAUUUUUGAGAGCAGUGAAAUAAGGCUCUUGGAAGGAAGGAUUCAAGAGAUAGCCACUGAUCCAGGAGCUGAGAAGAAUUACCAAGUGGAUCUCAGAGGAGGUUAUAUUGUGAUUGAAACAAAUCAAGGGAUGAACUUCAUGUGGGACCAGAAGACUACUGUUGUUGUUCACGUGGCACCAUCUUUCAAGGGAAAAGUCUGUGGCCUUUGUGGGGACUUUGAUGGCCGCUCAAGAAAUGACUUCACGACCAGAGGGCAGUCCAUGGAGAUGAGUAUCCAGGAGUUUGGAAACAGCUGGAAAAUAACAAGCACCUGCUCAAACGUCAACAUGACAGACCUGUGUGCUGAUCAGCCUUUCAAGACUGCUCUGGGACAAAAGCACUGCAGCAUCAUUAAGAGUAACAUCUUUGAAGCUUGUCACAGUAAGGUGAACCCAAUACCAUAUUAUGAAUCUUGUAUUUCUGACUUCUGUGGCUGUGACAGUGUGGGAGACUGUGAGUGCUUUUGUACCUCAGUUGCUGCUUAUUCAAGAAGCUGUAGCAGAGCUGGUGUCUGUAUCAACUGGAGAACUCCUGCCAUCUGCCCUGUGUUCUGUGAUUAUUACAAUCCACCUGACAAACAUGAGUGGUUUUACAAACCCUGUGGAGCCCCUUGUCUGAAGACUUGCAGGAACCCACAAGGGAAAUGUGGGAACUUGCUGUACAGUUUAGAAGGCUGUUACCCGGAGUGCAGUCCUGAUAAGCCAUAUUUUGAUGAGGAGAGCAGGGAGUGUGUCUCCCUCCCCAACUGCACUUCAUGUGAUCCCGAACAGAAACUGUGUACUGAAGACUCCAAAGAAUGCCUUUGCUGCUACAAUGGAAAGACCUACGCCUUAAAUGAAACUGUAUACAGCCAAGCAUAUGGGACCAAGUGUGGUGAUGCUGUCUGUGGCCCUAAUGGGGAGAUCAUUAAAACAUCCAUCCCUUGCAGAACACCAUCCACACCAGCACAAGAAGCACAAAUGCAGCAUGCAACGUCUACACCUCCAUCGUCAAUGGCAGCCACUCCCUGCUUCUGCAAUGACAAUGGACAAUUGAUACAAAUGGGAGAAAAUGUUUCUCUGCCAGUGAAUGUAUCAGGUCACUGUGCUUACUCCAUUUGCAAUGCAUCAUGUCAGAUUGAAUUAAUUUGGGCAGAGUGUAAAAUUGGUCAUACUGAAGCCCUCAAGACCUGUGAUCCAAACUCUGAAGCCUGUCCACUAACACCUGCUCCCAGUGCACCAAGCCAAGUUCCUGCUUCAACAGGGACUCCCGUGAGCGAUUGUCUUGGGCUCAUUCCCCCCAGAAAGUUUAAUGAAACAUGGAACUUCGGAAACUGCCAGGUUGCAACUUGCCUGGGAGAAGGAAAUAAUAUUAAACUGUCCAGCAUGACUUGCCCACCUCAGCAACUGAAACUCUGUGUCAAUGGUUUCCCAUUCACAAAACGCUAUGAUGAAACUGGUUGCUGUGAAGUCUUUGAGUGCCAGUGUAUUUGCAGUGGAUGGGGAAAUGAGCAUUAUGUGACUUUUGAUGGAACAUAUUAUAAUUUUAAAGAAAACUGCACCUAUGUGCUUGUGAAGUCAACUCAUCCUGACACUCACAACUUCUGGAUUCAUAUAGACAACUACUACUGCAGUGCCAUUGAUGGAGCAAUUUGUUCAAUGUCCCUUCUCAUUUUUCACUCUAACUCUGUUGUUGUUCUGACACAAGCAAUGGAACAUGGAAAAGAAACAAACUUGAUUUUGUUUAAUGAUAAGAAAAUUGUUCCAGACAUUUCCAAGAAUGGUAUCAGGAUAACCAGUUCCGGCCUCUAUGUCAUAGUAGAAAUUCCUGAAUUAGAAGCUUAUGUCUCCUACAGUCGACUUGCAUUUUACAUAAAACUGCCUUUUGGAAAGUUUUAUAACAGUACCAUGGGACUGUGUGGUACCUGUACCAACCAGAAAUUUGAUGAUGCUAUGAAGAGGAAUGGUGAAGUUUUCGAGUCCUUCAAAGAGAUGGCAUUAGAUUGGAAAGUCCCAGGUCCUACCAACAGAUACUGUAAUCCAGGUGUUUCAGAACCAGCUGAGAUUGAAGAUCAUCAGCACUGUGAACCUUCCAAUGUGUGUAAAAUAAUCUGGAACUUGACCGAGUGCCACAGCGUGGUCCGCCCACAGCCCUACUACGAGGCGUGUGUGGCCAGUGGGUGCUCAGAACAGCACCCCAGCUCUGAGUGCCAGAGCAUGCAGACAUAUGCAGCAUUGUGUGGGCUCCACGGGGUCUGUGUGGACUGGAGGACGCAGGCAAAUGGACAGUGCGAGACCAGCUGUGCUCAGGAUCAGAUAUACAAGCCAUGUGGAGAAGCAAAAAGAGACACUUGCUUCAGCAGAGGAGUCAUUAGAAAAACCCUUCCCUCCCAAAAUAACACACCAGUGUUUGUUGAGGGAUGCUACUGUCCUGAUGGAAAAAUUCUGCUGAAUGAUCAUGAUGGCAUUUGUGUUUCUGUCUGUGGUUGCAUUGCACAAGACGGGUCAGUGAAACAGCCUAGAGAGGCUUGGGAGCAUGACUGUCAAUACUGUACUUGUGAUGAAGAGACCUUGAACAUCUCUUGCUUCCCCCGCCCUUGUGCUAAAUCUCCACCUAUCAACUGCACUAAAGAGGGCUUUGUACGUAAAAUUAAAACACGUCUGGAUGACCCAUGCUGCACAGAUACAGUCUGUGAAUGUGAUAUAAAAACCUGCAUUAUCAACAAAACAGGAUGUGACUUAGGCUUCCAGCCAGUGGUUGCUAUAUCUGAGGAUGGUUGCUGUCCUAUUUUCUCCUGUAUACCAAAAGGUGUAUGUGUUUCUGAAGGAGUUGAAUUUAAGCCAUGGCCUGUCUCCUAUCUCCUCUAUAUUUCCAGCCUGGGGCAAUGGUGCCUAAAAGCUCUUGUGAGGACUGUGUGUGCACAGAUGAACUGGAUGUUGUGACACAGACCAAUCAUAUCCGGUGUGUUCCAGUGAAAUGCCAAACCACCUGCCAGCAGGUCAGUGCUGCACACUCAGCCUGCUCAACCAUGACCAAUGGUUGUUGAGGUGUUGUACUCUAAAACUGGCAUAGAGUAACUGCUUCCCCACUGAAAGACAGAAGGAUACAAUCUAUUAGAUUUUUUAAUAAAGUCCUUUUUAAGAUGUUGGUUAUUUUUGGUCUAGCAUGUUUAAGAGACCAUCCUUGGAGACAUGCCCUGAGGGAGAGCAAGGGCAAACUGACUGCUGAAAGACAUUUGUGCAGUUCUGUUGGUGUUGCCCACAGCCAUCUCAAAAAUUAAGAUUGUAAAGAAACGGCACAAUAGUUCAUACAUUUUCAGAUACUUCUCGGUACUCAUGAGCUGAGAGUUUGCACACAAACUGUUCAGUCUAUUAUUGAAUAUAAGCAGAGUGGUUUCUCUUCCAUUCUUGCUCAGAUAAGGCCAGACCACUGUCAAUCCUAAAAAUGGAUAAAACCAUUAUCCUUUAUCCUGAAGCCAGCCACACCCACCAAGAGACCUCAAACACAGGGGAGGGAAUAAGCGUUGCAGGAUCUUCACAUGUCUGACAGCAGCAGCUUUUGUGGAUAAUCAUAUCAGACCAAGCACUGGUAGUAGAUUGUGCCAGUAAUCAUACACUGAAUACAUUUAUUUGGCCUGACUUGUAUGUUAGCCAGAACAGACAAAGACAGGGUCUUGAUGGUAACAGAGGCACCCAGAAGUCACCAUUCAAUAAGAGAAAGAAUUAUCAGCUUUGAUUAUCAGACUUACAGUGGUUUCAACAAGUUUCUAAAGACAACAGAAAUGAAACCAGAAAGCUGACUUAUUUCCUCUGUCAUUUCCAUUGUGGCUUUGAUCCAAAGGUGUUUCAUGAACAAGACAUCAGAUAACAUGGCUAAAUGCAAACUUUAUUCCCCCAGGGUUUCCACAGUGUGGAAGAGGACGGUGAGUGCUGCAGCCAGUGCCAGCAAGUGGCAUGUGUGGCAAAUUUUCCAUUUGGCAAUGUGACCAUUGAGGUUGGAAAGAGCUAUAAAGCUCCAUAUGAUAACUGUACUCAGUACACGUGCAC